rnacentral:rRNA from 1 species
GUGUCAGCCGCCGCGGUAAUACGUAGGGGGCGAGCGUUGUCCGGAAUUACUGGGUGUAAAGGGCGUGUAGGCGGGGGUGCAAGUUACCGGUAAAAACCCAGGGCUCAACUCUGGGCUUGCCGGUAAAACUGCAUCUCUUGAGUGUAGGAGAGGGAAGUGGAAUUCCCGGAGUAGCGGUGAAAUGCGUAGAUACCGGGAGGAACACCAGUGGCGAAGGCGGCUUCCUGGCCUACAACUGACGCUGAGGCGCGAAAGCUAGGGUAGCGAACGGGAUUAGAUACCCCGGUAGUCCUAGCCGUAAACGAUGGUCACUAGGUGUGGGUGGUGGUCAAGCCAUCCGUGCCGGAGCUAACGCAAUAAGUGACCCACCUGGGGAGUACGGCCGCAAGGCUGAAACUCAAAUAAAUUGGCGG